UUAACACAUGCAAGUCGAGGGGCAGCAUGGUCUUAGCUUGCUAAGGCCGAUGGCGACCGGCGCACGGGUGAGUAACACGUAUCCAACCUGCCGUCUACUCUUGGACAGCCUUCUGAAAGGAAGAUUAAUACAAGAUGGCAUCAUGAGUCCGCAUGUUCACAUGAUUAAAGGUAUUCCGGUAGACGAUGGGGAUGCGUUCCAUUAGAUAGUAGGCGGGGUAACGGCCCACCUAGUCUUCGAUGGAUAGGGGUUCUGAGAGGAAGGUCCCCCACAUUGGAACUGAGACACGGUCCAAACUCCUACGGGAGGCAGCAGUGAGGAAUAUUGGUCAAUGGGCGCAGGCCUGAACCAGCCAAGUAGCGUGAAGGAUGACUGCCCUAUGGGUUGUAAACUUCUUUUAUAAAGGAAUAAAGUCGGGUAUGUAUACCCGUUUGCAUGUACUUUAUGAAUAAGGAUCGGCUAACUCCGUGCCAGCAGCCGCGGUAAUACGGAGGAUCCGAGCGUUAUCCGGAUUUAUUGGGUUUAAAGGGAGCGUAGAUGGAUGUUUAAGUCAGUUGUGAAAGUUUGCGGCUCAACCGUAAAAUUGCAGUUGAUACUGGAUAUCUUGAGUGCAGUUGAGGCAGGCGGAAUUCGUGGUGUAGCGGUGAAAUGCUUAGAUAUCACGAAGAACUCCGAUUGCGAAGGCAGCCUGCUAAGCUGCAACUGACAUUGAGGCUCGAAAGUGUGGGUAUCAAACAGG
rnacentral:rRNA from 1 species